rnacentral:lncRNA from 1 species
UCUCAAUAACAAUACUCCUUCAUCAACUGAUAACAACAGUGUGCAAUCCUAAAAGAUUGCUCAAAACUCAUAAAUUUUAUCCAACACCAAGAAUAACAGACUUCACUCCAACCAAUCUUGAUUCAUAGAAUUUCUGUAAUCACAGACUUCCUCUGUCGAAACACACAUACAACUCUCAAUAAACAACAAUCAUAAUCUUCCAUCUAUAAUCAAUCUUCCAAUAACUUCUCAUAUAAUUCAAUCACAUAAUAUUCCAAUUACAUAAUCAAUAACUCAUAAAUCAAUCUUUGAUUUAUUCCAC